rnacentral:rRNA from 1 species
UACGUAGGGUGCGAGCGUUAAUCGGAAUUACUGGGCGUAAAGCGUGCGCAGGCGGUGAUGUAAGACAGAUGUGAAAUCCCCGGGCUCAACCUGGGAACUGCAUUUGUGACUGCAUGGCUAGAGUGUGUCAGAGGGGGGUAGAAUUCCACGUGUAGCAGUGAAAUGCGUAGAGAUGUGGAGGAAUACCGAUGGCGAAGGCAGCCCCCUGGGAUAACACUGACGCUCAUGCACGAAAGCGUGGGGAGCAAACAGG